GGGAAUUUUGGACAAUGGGCGAAAGCCUGAUCCAGCAAUGCCGCGUGUGUGAAGAAGGCCUUCGGGUUGUAAAGCACUUUUGUCCGGAAAGAAAUCCUUGGCUCUAAUACAGUCGGGGGAUGACGGUACCGGAAGAAUAAGCACCGGCUAACUACGUGCCAGCAGCCGCGGUAAUACGUAGGGUGCGAGCGUUAAUCGGAAUUACUGGGCGUAAAGCGUGCGCAGGCGGUUUGCUAAGACCGAUGUGAAAUCCCCGGGCUCAACCUGGGAACUGCAUUGGUGACUGGCAGGCUAGAGUAUGGCAGAGGGGGGUAGAAUUCCACGUGUAGCAGUGAAAUGCGUAGAGAUGUGGAGGAAUACCGAUGGCGAAGGCAGCCCCCUGGGCCAAUACUGACGCUCAUGCACGAAAGCGUGGGGAGCAAACAGGAUUAGAUACCCUGGUAGUCCACGCCCUAAACGAUGUCAACUAGUUGUUGGGGAUUCAUUUCCUUAGUAACGUAGCUAACGCGUGAAGUUGACCGCCUGGGGAGUACGGUCGCAAGAUUAAAACUCAAAGGAAUUGACGGGGACCCGCACAAGCGGUGGAUGAUGUGGAUUAAUUCGAUGCAACGCGAAAAACCUUACCUACCCUUGACAUGGUCGGAACCCCGCUGAGAGGUGGGAGUGCUCGAAAGAGAACCGGCGCACAGGUGCUGCAUGGCUGUCGUCAGCUCGUGUCGUGAGAUGUUGGGUUAAGUCCCGCAACGAGCGCAACCCUUGUCCUUAGUUGCUACGCAAGAGCACUCUAAGGAGACUGCCGGUGACAAACCGGAGGAAGGUGGGGAUGACGUCAAGUCCUCAUGGCCCUUAUGGGUAGGGCUUCACACGUCAUACAAUGGUCGGAACAGAGGGUUGCCAACCCGCGAGGGGGAGCUAAUCCCAGAAAACCGAUCGUAGUCCGGAUUGCACUCUGCAACUCGAGUGCAUGUAGCUGGAAUCGCUAGUAAUCGCGGAUCAGCAUGCAUAGGACAUUUCAGUCCCGGGCCUUGUACACACCGC
rnacentral:rRNA from 1 species